UGGGGAAUAUUGCACAAUGGGCGCAAGCCUGAUGCAGCCAUGCCGCGUGUGUGAAGAAGGCCUUCGGGUUGUAAAGCACUUUCAGCGAGGAGGAAGGUGGUGAACUUAAUACGUUCAUCAAUUGACGUUACUCGCAGAAGAAGCACCGGCUAACUCCGUGCCAGCAGCCGCGGUAAUACGGAGGGUGCAAGCGUUAAUCGGAAUUACUGGGCGUAAAGCGCACGCAGGCGGUUUGUUAAGUCAGNUGUGAAAUCCCCGGGCUCAACCCGGGAACUGCAUUUGAAACUGGCAAGCUAGAGUCUCGUAGAGGGGGGUAGAAUUCCAGGUGUAGCGGUGAAAUGCGUAGAGAUCUGGAGGAAUACCGGUGGCGAAGGCGGCCCCCCUGGACGAAGACUGACGCUCAGGUGCGAAAGCGUGGGGAGCAAACA
rnacentral:rRNA from 1 species